rnacentral:rRNA from 1 species
UACGGAGGGUGCGAGCGUUGUCCGGAAUCAUUGGGCGUAAAGGGCGCGUAGGCGGUCAGCACAAGUCAGUUGUGAAAUCUCCGGGCUUAACUCGGAAAGGUCAACUGAUACUGUGCGACUAGAGUGCAGAAGGGGCAACUGGAAUUCUCGGUGUAGCGGUGAAAUGCGUAGAUAUCGAGAGGAACACCUGCGGCGAAGGCGGGUUGCUGGGCUGACACUGACGCUGAUGCGCGAAAGCCAGGGGAGCGAACAGG